CCUGCUCAUUAGCUUGACAACACUACCAUUCAUCAUCUUGUUUGCUGGGGAACUUAGAGGUUGAGUAGAAACAUCUGGUGUGACAAGACUUGACCUCCUCCAAGAGCAGGGAGUUGGAGGAGCUUUGAUGGUCACACUGUGCCCUACAGCUCAAGGUGUGGAGAUUCUUAUAGAUUCCUAGAACUUGGUGUAAACCAAAGGUAAGUACCUGCUGCCAUGCUUUGACUCUGAAGUCCCUGUGUUUCUUGAUGCUGAAGGGUUAAUAAAUUCAAGCUUCUUCUGAAACUUAGGUAUUGGAGUGUAAGUUGAUAUCCAGUAACUGAAAGCAUCCUAAAUCAUAGGCAAGUGCUUCAGUUAAAUACAUAUUGAAUUGUGCUAAUGCAGUGCAAGCAAUGGAGCUUCAAAGUUGAAUAUGCUGUAUUUAAUACUAGACAAUGCCAUUCUUUGGAGUCUGUGUAGGAAAUAAUAGGUGUGUCCUUAACCAGCAAUUUAGUAUUGAAAAUUUGACAAAGGGCUGGGUCACAGCUUAUUUCAACCCUCUUGUAAAUGGGAAUGAUGCUCAGAUAGCAUUUUAAGACUGCAGUGCCUGGUGCUUUAGUAGUGUGAGUAUGUAUCCAACGCCAACAACGACCAAAGUUGCGGCUGUAGUGUAGCCUAGGUAACUUGACUUAGGGUACUUUAAGGGUAGUAUUUUCUGUGUGUCCUUUCCAGCAAUGUCACUUACAAGCACAUGUGUUCUUCUCAGUGAGUUGAAAAAGGCAGCUGGUAGACUGUUUCACCAGAGAAAACAUUUAAAAGUUAAGUGCAGUAAGUACUUGGUGGCCCUCGUAAAGCCAUAAUGACUUUGGAAAACUUCGGUUGUACUAUGAGGUGUAUAAAGCAUUACAAGCUUUCAUUUCUCAAAUACUGGUAGUGAUGACAUCAUGUAAACAAACUGCUAAGUCUCUUUGGAAACGAUGGGAGAAUCUCUCCGUUUUGCUGUUAGAAAUUUGAAAUCCUGAUGCGGUACCUGUGGCAGUGUUUCAGUGUAUUUAGUGUCUUUCAUCUGCUGGCGUGGCUGAAACUACUAAAAUAUAGGUCAGUGGGUUCAGCUGAAGAGUAUAUGUUCCAGCAAGUUGCCUGGUCUGAAAAUACAAGUGAUGGUCUUUCCUUCCUUUCUUCAGCAGUGAGGAGUUAUAAUUACUGAAACAAGAAGUAACUGUUCUGAGUUUCUGCACUGCAGUGGGUCAUAGUUGCGGAAGCUGGGAAUGGAAAGAGCUUCUGGGCUCUUCUUGAGCUUCUUCUAACUAUUUAUAACGGAUUGAAUGGCUGAAUCUUUUUAAUGGCCUCUAAGACAGUACCUGCCUCUUCAGUAAAGAUAAUGCUUUUCUGGAAUGAAUCUACUUGUCUGUCUGCUGAGUAUAAAUUAGCCAGGAUCUCUGAAGAAUGAUUGUUGAAGAGGUUUUGAGUGAGGCUAGUAGUGAAAGAAAUAUUUUGGUGCUCUGGAAGGCCGAGUCUUGACCUAGAUUUAACAUGCGUCCUUGAAAUGAACUGAUGCACGAAGGAAGCUUGCAUGCUUACGACUUGUCUGCCACUUUGAAGGAAAAUGGGAACACUUCAAAAAGAAUUUCAAGUUAGAACAACAAGAGUGAAGGACACUUUCCCAAGUCUUGUAAUUCUGAAUAUUGUUCAUAUCUGAACUGGAUGCAGGUGGAAUAUGAAGAAGAAUGCUUGGAAAGCUCCAGCGAGACAACUGCAGAUGGGGGAGGCAGCAGUGCAGUAUGAGGAUCCCCCGUUUCUGCCGAUGAUGAAUAUGUGAAUGAGUUCAUGAUCUGUGGCCUUUCCCAGAUAAGAGGUCAGGCUGGAUAACAAAGUCCUUCUAUUGUUUGGGGGGGAUUAAGCCAGGUAUUUGGGGGGAUAUAAACCAGAGUACUGGAUUUGUCACCAAAAUGGAUAUUCAGCUGAGUCCCCUGUAUCAGUUAAUCAGUGUUGAUUUGCAUAAAUCAAAUAUCCCUGCAA